rnacentral:rRNA from 1 species
CCCCUAGACGUUCUGGGCUGCACGCGCGUUACAAUAAUACGCACAGCGAGUAUCACCGAGCUCGAAAGGGCAAGGUAAACAAUAGAAAAGGUACUGUAAUGGUUAUAGAUCCUUGUAAUUAUUGAUCUUCAACGAGGAAUUCCUAGUAAGUAUGUGUCAUCAUCACGCACUGAUUACGUCCCUGCCCUUUGUACACACCGCCCGUCGCUCCUACCGAUUGGGUGAGCCGAUGAAACUCUCGGAUGUAGGCUAUUCAUAGCCCGCAGAAGAGAUUUGAAUCGUAGCGCUUAGAGGAAGGAGAAGUCGUAACA